UACGGAGGGGGCUAGCGUUGUUCGGAAUUACUGGGCGUAAAGCGCACGUAGGCGGCUUUGCAAGUUAGAGGUGAAAGCCCGGGGCUCAACCCCGGAAUAGCCUUUGAGACUGCAUCGCUAGAAUUGUGGAGAGGUAAGUGGAAUUCCGAGUGUAGAGGUGAAAUUCGUAGAUAUUCGGAAGAACACCAGUGGCGAAGGCGGCUCACUGGACUGGUAUUGACGCUGAGGUGCGAAAGCGUGGGGAGCAAACAGG
rnacentral:rRNA from 1 species